UGGGGAAUUUUCCGCAAUGGGCGAAAGCCUGACGGAGUGACGCCGCGUGGGGGACGAAGGCCUUCGGGUUGUAAACCCCUGUCAGAGGGAAAGAAGGGUCGCCUGGCUAAUAUCCAGGUGAUCUGACGGUACCUUCAGAGGAAGCCCCGGCCAACUCUGUGCCAGCAGCCGCGGUAAGACAGAGGGGGCAAGCGUUGCUCGGAAUCACUGGGCGUAAAGGGCGCGUAGGCGGGAUGGCAAGUCGGUCGUGAAAUCUCUCGGCUCAACCGAGAAACGUCGGCCGAUACUGCCGUUCUUGAGGGAUGCAGAGGAGACUGGAAUUCCCGGUGUAGCGGUGAAAUGUGUAGAGAUCGGGAGGAACACCGGUGGCGAAGGCGGGUCUCUGGGCAUUUCCUGACGCUGAGGCGCGAAAGCGUGGGGAGCAAACGG
rnacentral:rRNA from 1 species